UACGUAGGUUGCGAGCGUUAUUCGGAUUUAUUGGGCGUAAAGAGCGUGUAGGCGGCUUGGUAGGUCUUGCGUCAAAACCUGAGGCUCAACCUCAGUUCGCGUGGGAAACCACCUAGCUAGAGUCCGGAAGAGGAGAACGGAAUUCCCAGUGUAGCGGUGAAAUGCGCAGAUAUUGGGAAGAACACCAGUGGCGAAGGCGGUUCUCUGGGACGGUACUGACGCUGAGACGCGAAAGCGUGGGGAGCGAACAGG
rnacentral:rRNA from 1 species